GACGAACCACACGAACGUUAUUCGGAAUUACUGGGCUUAAAGGGUGCGUAGGCUGUGCGGAAAGUUAGGUGUGAAAGCCCCCGGCUCAACCGGGGAAUUGCGCUUAAAACUACCGUGCUAGAGGAAGACAGAGGUGAGCGGAACUUCGGGUGGAGCGGUGAAAUGCGUUGAUAUCCGAAGGAACACCGGUGGCGAAAGCGGCUCACUGGGUCUUUUCUGACGCUGAUGCACGAAAGCUAGGGGAGCAAACGGG
rnacentral:rRNA from 1 species